GUGAAGAACGUAGCGAAAUGCGAUAAGUAAUGUGAAUUGCAGAAUUCAGUGAAUCAUCGAAUCUUUGAACGCACAUUGCGCCCACUAGUAUUCUGGCGGGCAUGCCUGUCCGAGCGUCAUUUCAACCCUCAAGCCCCCGGGCUUGGUGUUGGGGAUCGGCGAGCCUCCGCGCCCGCCGUCCCCUAAAUCUAGUGGCGGUCUCGCUGUAGCUUCCUCUGCGUAGUAGCACACCUCGCACUGGGAAACAGCGCGGCCACGCCGUUAAACCCCCAACUUCUGAACGUUUGACCUCGGAUCAGGUAGGAAUACCCGCUGAACUUAAGCAUAUCAAUAAGCGGAGGA
rnacentral:misc_RNA from 1 species